rnacentral:rRNA from 1 species
GACGAACGCUGGCGGCGUGCUUAACACAUGCAAGUCGAACGGAAAGGCCCUGCUUUUGUUGGUUUCUCGAUUGGCGAACGGGUGAGUAACACGCGAGUAACCUGCCCUUGACUUUGUGAUAACUUCAGGAAACUGGGGCUAAUACCGGAUAUGAGCUCCUGCUGCAUGGUGGUGGUUGGAAAGUUUCGGCGGUUGGGGAUGGACUCGCGGCUUAUCAGCUUGUUGGUGGGGUAGUGGCUUACCAAGGCUUUGACGGGUAGCCGGCCUGAGAGGGUGACCGGCCACAAUGGGACUGAGAGACGGACCAGACUCCUACGGGAGGCAGUAGUGGGGAAUAUUGCACAAUGGGGGGAAGCCUGAUACAGCAACGCCGCGUGCGGGAUGACGGCCUUCGGGGUGAAAACAGAUUUCGAAUGUGACGAAGAGUGCGUGACGGUAAUGGGUCAGGAAGCACCGGCUAACUACGUG